UAAUUUUUUUAAGAGUGUAGCUAAUGAUGACUUCGGCAGUCAAGAAGAGCAAGAACUUCUUGACUGCCGAAGUCAUCAUUAGCUACACUCUUAAAA
rnacentral:pre_miRNA from 1 species